GGUCUUACCUAGCAGCAUUGGA
rnacentral:miRNA from 1 species